GCGAUUGGCUGGCGUCAUCGCACGUGCAGCGCGGAGGCCCAGAUCCCUCGCGCUGGCGGGGCCCGGCGGUCCAAUAAGCGCCGCCCGCGGCGCGGCGGGGUGCGCUGUGGGAACGGGCGCGUGGCCGCGCAUGGCGACGGCGGUGGGUGGGAGUCUCACCGAGGGAGCUUGCCGGUUCAUUCACCCAGUAAUCUACUGGCAUCUACUGGCAAGAUGAGUGGAUCCUGACCAUUACGGAAACGGCCUUCCAAACUAGCCCAUGAAGGGGUCGGGGAUGUAGCUCAGAGGCACAGCACCUGCCUGACGAGCACGAGGUCCUGAGUUCGAGUCCCAAUACCAAAAGAAAAAAUACAGGCCAUGAGGAGCUACAAAGAACUGCAAACUGGGUCAGCUGUCCCUGGAGCCCAUGAAAACAAAAAUGAAAGCCCAAGAGGUACCAGGAAUUGAUCUCACAACCUCACGCUUGCCAGGCAGGCGCUGUGCCGCUGAGCUAAAUCCCCAGCCCCUACCUCCUACAAACGGGACUGACAUUCAGAAGCCUUCUAUAGACCUAACCCUGUCUGAAGCAUCGCCUGCCUUCUUGGACACGUCCACAGCCUCACAACCUGCAGCUACCUGGAGUUCACUUUGUGACCCUAAGGAUCCCAGAACCUCACUACCAGAGGCGCCACCCAGCGCAAUUCACAACCGUUCCUAGCCCCACAAAACCACCUGCUGGCUCCUCAACCUCGCAGCCUUCAGAUCAGCAGACAAAGCCACUCCCUUGGAGCUAUGAAGAACUGAACAAAAGAAUGAGAGACCUCUAUCAUUCUCUUGCAGUUGCCAUCAAUAUUGAUGGAAUCUGCUCAAAACUCCAGUAGGAGUGCAAAGCCUGAUUCCCCAUUUCCCCUGGGUUGCCACUAGGAUCAUUCUAAAAUGGUAAUUCGGUCACUCCCACAAAUCAAGUUUUUUAAAUGGUUACAACGUUGCCUAAAAUCCUCUAUGAA